GAAACUUAUCUGGAUCGAUUGUCUCUCAGGUAUGAGAAGGAAGGCCAUCCUUCUCAACUCUCUCCAAUUGAUAUAUUUGUAAGUACAGUCGAUCCAUUAAAAGAACCUCCACUGGUCACUGCAAACACAGUUCUGUCCAUUCUUGCGGUGGAUUAUCCUGUUGACAAGGUCUCAUGUUAUGUUUCUGAUGACGGUGCUGCUAUGCUGACAUUUGAGGCACUAUCAGAAACAUCAGAAUUUGCAAAAAAGUGGG
rnacentral:misc_RNA from 1 species